GCGAGUGAAGCGGCAAAAGCUCAAAUUUGAAAUCCUGCGGGAAUUGUAAUUUGAAGGUUUCGUGGUCUGAGUCGGCCGCGCCCAAGUCCAUUGGAACAUGGCGCCUGGGAGGGUGAGAGCCCCGUAUGGCGCACGCCGACUCUUUGCACCGCGGCUCCGACGAGUCGAGUUGUUUGGGAAUGCAGCUCUAAGUGGGUGGUAAAUUCCAUCUAAAGCUAAAUAUUGGCGAGAGACCGAUAGCGAACAAGUACAGUGAUGGAAAGAUGAAAAGCACUUUGAAAAGAGAGUGAAACAGCACGUGAAAUUGUUGAAAGGGAAGGGCUUGCAAGCAGACACGGUUUUACCGGGCCAGCGUCGAAAAGGGGGGAGGAACAAGAACUCGAGAAUGUGGCGCGCACCUUCGGGCGCGCGUGUUAUAGCUCGUGUUGACGCCUCCAUCCCUUUUCGAGGCCUGCGAUUCUAGGACGCUGGCGUAAUGGUUGCAAGCCGCCC
rnacentral:rRNA from 1 species